CCACCCAAUGCACCGCCCACGCCCGACUCAACCGUACCGCCUGCUGAGGCGAGACCACUGGUCAGAGUGAGUGACAACAACAGAAUCGAGGAAUACUUCAUGCAAUGAACCUCAAAGGGAUGACGGCGCCGAUCCUGAGGUUCUGCAAAGAUUGUGGCAACGCAAAUCCGACGAGUAACACGACUGGUACACAAAUAGCUAAGUUACUGUUUUUGCUAAGGAACUUAAGUCUUAAUUGGCAGUCUUAGCUUACUUGAUCAAGGCCCGUUUCUCGCGAAACGGGCCUUUUUUCUUCAUGGGUUUGGGCUCUGUAGGAGCUCACGAGCAACGCGAGGCAGCGAUAGCGAUUUGUCUGAUACUCCGCCAUCGCGGCCUCGCUGUGCU
rnacentral:sRNA from 1 species